GAUUACCUGCCCUGCAGGUGAUAUGUGAAAAAAUUGAUCCAUCAAAUUAGAUCUUUCGGGAGCCAGCGUAAGGUGUCGGUGUGCAUGUUGCCCCUGCGGCAGAAGCCUAAAGACCCCUUCAUGGCACCCACCUAUUUAAUAGGCGGAUCUGAUUGUUCACAUACACGGCAGGGUGGGAUCAUU
rnacentral:other from 1 species